rnacentral:pre_miRNA from 1 species
GAUCUACUCCCUCCGUUCGGAAUUACUCGUCCAAGAAAUGAAUGUAUCUAGAUGUAUUUUAGUUGUAGAUACAUCUAUUUUUGUGACAAGUAAUUCCGAACGAAGGGAGUAUGUU